rnacentral:rRNA from 1 species
AACGAACGCUGGCGGCAGGCUUAACACAUGCAAGUCGAGCGCCCCGCAAGGGGAGCGGCAGACGGGUGAGUAACGCGUGGGAAUCUACCCAUCACUACGGAACAACUCCGGGAAACUGGAGCUAAUACCGUAUACGUCCUUCGGGAGAAAUGUUUAUCGGUGAUGGAUGAGCCCGCGUUGGAUUAGCUAGUUGGUGGAGUAAUUGCCCACCAAGGCGACGAUCCAUAGCUGGUCUGAGAGGAUGAUCAGGCACACUGGGACUGAGACACGGCCCAGACUCCUACGGGAGGCAGCAGUGGGGAAUAUUGGACAAUGGGCGCAAGCCUGAUCCAGCCAUGCCGCGUGAGUGAUGAAGGCCCUAGGGUUGUAAAGCUCUUUCACCGGUGAAGAUAAUGACGGUAACCGGAGAAGAAGCCCCGGCUAACUUCGUGCCAGCCGCCGCCGUAA